ensembl:lncRNA
AUUCAGGGACAGAACUGCUCCCUGUGCUGCUGCUCUGAAGCUCAGAGCAUCCUCGUGUGGCAUAACUGCAGUUGUGGAAUAGUCAGUAACUCCCCUUGCCCCCCACCACCCAGAAUGAGCAGUUUUGUUUAAUGUAGACAAAAUAAUAAGAAUGGCUGAGCUCACAACGAUGUCGCUGCGCAUCAGAAGGAAAAACCAUCUGUAUGGUCGUGUUAGCAUCCCUGGGGACCUGGCACCACAGAGCAAACCCUCACCCGUGACAAACAGGAUUAGCCCUGCGCCGGAGAGCCUCAGCACCGGGUAGGCACAGUGUUUCCAUGGCAAUUUCAUUGCACUCAGCUGGUUCCAGAUACCCUGCACAGGGCUUGGGGCUCCCUCCCACGGCGUUCCCAUUGGUUUCCUACCCCCCAGUCCCUGCAGUGAGAUGGGUCACGCAGGAUGAACCCAGCUGCACUCUGCAUGCCCUCGCUCUGCAGCACAGCUUUUGUUUUAUUAUUUAUGGAUCACGAACACGCUGUGCCUCUUGGGUUACCUGGUGGUAGCACAGCAGCUCCCACUGCUUUAUAUGCCUCUCUGAGAGUACCAUAUUUCCAGGCAGAUGUCUCAGCCCUAAAGCCAGACGGUAGCACCACCCAUGCCAGGGGAUUGUGUGCUGCCUGGGGAGGUGCCUCUGGGGGCUGAAUGCUAUUUCUAAGCUGAUCUAAAGCAGCUGAAAGGCAGGCAGAGCACAGAGAAUGGGAGCAGGGGACCACUGAUAAUAGGAACCUGUGGCUGUCCUAGCUUGGUGCUUCAUGUUAGCUCUGGGGAAGCCUGACCCUGCGCUCUCCUGCACAGACAGUGUGCUCUCUAGUUUGCUGAAGAACUGAAAUGCCCUAAAGAACUGUAACCGUACAGCUCACAGCUGCUUGAAAACACCAAAGGGAGAGCCAGGAGCUGCUCUCUUCCUGCAGACACAGUGCCCUGAAGACACACCACAGGUCCAAUUCUGCCCAUGGGCAUGCAUCUGAGGUAGCAGCCUUGGGCCAGUAAGCAGAGAAACUCAGGCUCAUCACCUCCUCCCACCCUCAUCUCUUGCCCUACCCCAUAAAAUGCAUUUUACUCAGGCUCUGCUGACUCAGUCUCAGGUGCAGCAGUUCUCACUGAGGCGCACAGGGCAGGAAAGCCACAGCCAGCAUCCCCACUCCUGGUGCCUCCAGUUCUGCUCUGGGGGGAGGCUCUGUCCCAGCUCUCCACCUCCUUCCUAUGAUUUCACUGCAGGGAACUUCAGCACACCAGGGAAGCUGGCUUGGGUCACCGGUCCCCUCGUAUAUCAAAGUUUGUCCUUUCCAAGCCAGACCUGGUUAUUUUUAAGCCUCCUUGCUAGGUAUUAAUAGCACACAUGCAUGCUAUGCUGAGCAAUUCCUUUGGUACCCGGAUGGGAGUCGAGCUGAACUGCCCUUACCUAUAAUCACAGUCCCAGUGGCUGGUUUUACAAUUGCAGUUCUGACGAGUUCACUGCAUCUUAUCACCAGCACGUGCCUACACCUGCAUUCACCCCAGCUCCUCAGCAGGAGGGAGAAAAGGCAAAAAGGAGCAGAGAAAGGGGAGACAGACCUGCAGGGUGCAAAGAGAGCUGGGGCUGCAUCUCCCUAGCAACUGGUGCUGCAUAGAGAGGAAUCAAUGUCACCCCAAAUCUGGACUCUGUCUGCUGAGGGCUCGUCUGCUAAUUAACUGGGCAGCUUUCAGCACCAGUUUGGGAUUGCUGCAUCUUUAUCUAAAGCAUCUGACUGCUGCCAGGUGUGAGAGGGGCUGUGUCUGGUGUGAGAUGAACUGUUAUGCAGCAGAAAUAGAUGUUUGGGUCACUGAGGGUUUCUGAGCUGAAGGGAAAGCCCCAUUCCCACAAUCACCUCAUCACCUGCAUCAGCUACAGCUGGGUACCUCACAGGAGGAUAUCACCUCUUCUAUCUUGCUCCAGAGGAAGGUGGGCAGUAAUGAGUAAUUAACAUAACUGCUUGAAACCACACUUUCUAUAGGAUCCUGCCUCCCUGGGGCUGCAGCAUCUGCCCUGGAUCACAGCGUGUUAUGAGAACAGCCAAGGGUGAGGCUC